rnacentral:rRNA from 1 species
UACGUAGGCAGCAAGCGUUGUUCGGAGUUACUGGGCGUAAAGGGUGUGUAGGCGGUUCUUUAAGUUUGGUGUGAAAUCUCCCGGCUCAACUGGGAGGGUGCGCCGAAUACUGAGGGACUAGAGUGCGGGAGAGGAAAGUGGAAUUCCUGGUGUAGCGGUGAAAUGCGUAGAUAUCAGGAGGAACACCGGUGGUGUAAACGGCUUUCUGGACCGCAACUGACGCUGAGACACGAAAGCGUGGGUAGCAAACAGGAUUAGAUACCCUGGUAGUCCACGCCCUAAACGAUGCAUAUUUGGUGUGGGUCAUUCAGUUGAUCCGUGCCGGAGCUAACGCGUUAAAUAUGCCGCCUGGGGAGUACAGUCGCAAGGCUGAAACUCAAAGGAAUUGACGGGGGCCCGCACAAGCGGUGGAGCAUGUGGUUCAAUUCGACGCAACGCGAAAGAACCUUACCUGGGCUCGAACGGCUGGUUAACGGACUUUGGAAACAGAGCUACUCCGCAAGGAGGUCCAGUCGAGGUGCUGCAUGGCUGUCGUCAGCUCGUGUCGUGAGAUGUUGGGUUAAGUCCCGCAACGAGCGCAACCCUCGUCCUGUGUUGCCAUGGGGUAAAACCCGGAACUCGCAGGAGACCGCCAGCGAUAAGUUGGAGGAAGGUGGGGAUGACGUCAAGUCCUCAUGGCCUUUAUGUCCAGGGCUACACACGUGCUACAAUGGCCGGUACAAUCCGUCGCUAACCUGCGAAGGGGAGCCAAUCGGAAAAAACCGGUCUCAGUUCGGAUUGCAGGCUGCAACUCGCCUGCAUGAAGCUGGAAUCGCUAGUAAUGGCAGAUCAGCACGCUGCCGUGAAUACGUUCCCGGGCCUUGUACACACCGCCCGUCACACCAUGGGAGUUUGUUGCACCAGAAGCAGGUAGCUUAACCUUCGGGAGGGCGCUUGCCACGGUGUGGCCGAUGACUGGGGGG